GGUAAGAUGGCCGAAGCAGGCGCAAGGUUGUAGCCCUUGUUAUAGAGGUUAGAGUCCUUUUUUUAUCA
rnacentral:tRNA from 1 species